rnacentral:misc_RNA from 1 species
AUUUUGAAUUUAAAGAAAACAUAACCUUCCAUAUUUCCAAAAAAAUCAAAACUUUUAAUUUAUUACCAAAAAAUAACAAAUGGAAAUUAAUUUCAAAUUUCAUUACCGUAUCCAAAAUAAAUCUUUAAAUGAUUAAAAUAAUGGGUACGCGAAAAACGGUUUUUACGGAAAUACCCGGUUUUCAGGCAUUCCCGCGCUUAGUUUUGAAUCCCAACUUUUAGGCGGGGGACUGAAUUAAUUGACGUUAAUGGCCGGUCACACACGUCAAUAGACAUCUGUGUUCCCAUAUGGAAAUGUCGAGAUUGCCCGGUCAUUGUCCUCAUUGCCAUCUGGAGAAUCUUUUGUUUAGUAUCUACUUCUAUAGCUAUAGGAGUAAAUGACCAUGGAAGAAAUGAGGGACAAAUUCCAAACAGCAUUAAACAUAAUGGUCAGUAGUAAAAGAGAUGACAAUAAGUUUUUAUUGAAUAAAACUGAAUAUCAGCAAAAAAUCUUGGAUGUGAAGGCAGCUAAAAUAAUACUUAAAACACCAUCGUCGCCAAAGACCCAAUCUCAUUAUAGACUUGUUAGAAGGUAUGAUAUAUUAACCCAGGAUAAUCGAGAGAGGUUGAUACGACCAGCAGAUGACAGCAACCACCUACUGUAUUAUGUUACAAAUGAAGAAUUAUUUGACAUUUUAUACUCGACUCAUAUGGAACUAAAUCAUGGAGGGCGAAACAGGAUGGGAGCCGAACUAAAAACUAAAUAUUGUAACAUAACUAAAGAGGUUAUAAUGGUCUUUCUAAGGUUCUGUGGUCAUUGUCAAAAUAAAACUCCUAUAGGAGGAAGGAAGAAACCAGUGUCCAAGCCAGCCAUUCAUUCUAAAAAGUCCAGUGUUCAUGUUGAUUUAAUUGACAUGAAAACACACUCUUACAGUGGUUACCAAUUUAUUUUGGUCCAUCAAGAUAAAGCCACCAAAUUCAUACAUCUUAAAGCAUUGAAAUCCAAAGAAGUGGAUGAAAUUGUGAGACACUUGUUAGAUAUUUAUACCACUUUUGGAGCCCCAGCAAUAUUAAACUCUAAUCAGGGAAGAGAAUUUAUCAUUUCUAUAAUAACCGAGCUGCAGAGGCAAUGGAAGGAUAUAAAGAUGGUGCAUGGGAAACCCUUGCAUGGGCAUAGUGAAACUAUGUUAGAAACCAGAAAUAAAGAUUUGGAAGAGAUGACUGUGGCUUGGAUGAAGGAUAAUAAGACUCUGGAUUGGCCUUCGGGGAUUAAGUUUAUACAGUUUAGGAAGAAUUCUGCCUUUCAUACGGGCAUAAAACCUAGGGAAGGAGGAAGGUGAACAUUUUCUUACCCAUGUAAUGUUUUAUUUACAUUCAACUUCUCACUUGCUCUGAAUGUGGAAUGGGCAACCAAAGGAUGUAUGUAAGAUGAGUUCCAAAAGAAUUGCCUCCUGCAAUUUCCUGCUUGUGCUUUUUGAAGACCAGUUAUUGGUUCAAGCAUAUGUUAGCCAUCUAAGUAUUCAGUCACUUGGACACAAGAUUCAGGAACUUGAAUGUCUGGAUAAUGAGAUUAGUUCCUACUGUAGGUCAGCUGGCUCACCUGGUGGCGUCACAAUAUUUGUUAUGGAGUCAUUUUUCUACAAACUAAGUCUAGACUUUCUGGGGUUGUCAGUGACUGUCAGCUGUGGGGUUUCUGCCGUACAAUCUGAUGAGGUAUCGGUAAAUCACCUUAUGAAGCAAUGUUUGGAUCUCCAGCAGGACUGGGACUUCUAUCAACUCCCCAAAGUGAGACGUCUAUAAAAAGUGAUUCUGAGGAGGAGCUUAAUUCACUACUAAGCAGUGAAAAGGCGACCCCUCAAAGAAACGAGGAAAUCGUCAUGGAAAUCUCUCCAGAGACACUUAAAAAUUACUAUAUGCAAUGAAUUUGCAUAGAAAUAUGUUGUUUCUAUAGCGAAAACGCGAGAAGUGAUGGAUUUUCAAUAAAUCCAGUUAAAAGUCUAAAAUAUUGGGAAGAAUAUGGUGUAGGAAUGGCUAUUCUAUAUUUUCCUGAUAAGCAACAUUUCUUUGUAUAUAAGUUUGUCUGUGAUUAAACGGGAUGUUUUAUUCUUA